UUACUGAGUUUACGCUCUAUAACCCUUUGUGAACAUACCUAUAACUGUUGCUUCGGCGGGCAGGGUCUCCGUGACCCUCCCGGCCUCCCGCCCCCGGGCGGGUCGGCGCCCGCCGGAGGAUAACCAAACUCUGAUUUAACGACGUUUCUUCUGAGUGGUACAAGCAAAUAAUCAAAACUUUUAACAACGGAUCUCUUGGUUCUGGCAUCGAUGAAGAACGCAGCGAAAUGCGAUAAGUAAUGUGAAUUGCAGAAUUCAGUGAAUCAUCGAAUCUUUGAACGCACAUUGCGCCCGCCAGCAUUCUGGCGGGCAUGCCUGUUCGAGCGUCAUUUCAACCCUCAAGCUCUGCUUGGUGUUGGGGCCCUACAGCUGAUGUAGGCCCUCAAAGGUAGUGGCGGACCCUCCCGGAGCCUCCUUUGCGUAGUAACUUUACGUCUCGCACUGGGAUCCGGAGGGACUCUUGCCGUAAAACCCCCCAAUUUUCCAAAGGUUGACCUCGGAUCAGGUAGGAAUACCCGCUGAACUUAAGCAUAUCAAUAAGCGGAGGAAAAGAAACCAACAGGGAU
rnacentral:rRNA from 1 species